rnacentral:rRNA from 1 species
AACGAACGCUGGCGGCAUGCCUAACACAUGCAAGUCGAACGAGACCUUCGGGUCUAGUGGCGCACGGGUGCGUAACGCGUGGGAACCUGCCCUUAGGUUCGGAAUAACUCCCCGAAAGGGGUGCUAAUACCGGAUAAUGUUUUCGGACCAAAGAUUUAUCGCCUUUGGAUGGGCCCGCGUUGGAUUAGCUAGUUGGUAGGGUAAAAGCCUACCAAGGCGACGAUCCAUAGCUGGUCUGAGAGGAUGAUCAGCCACACUGGGACUGAGACACGGCCCAGACUCCUACGGGAGGCAGCAGUGGGGAAUAUUGGACAAUGGGCGAAAGCCUGAUCCAGCAAUGCCGCGUGAGUGGUGAAGGCCUUAGGGUUGUAAAGCUCUUUUACCCGGGAUGAUAACGACAGUACCGGGAGAAUAAGCUCCGGCUAACUCCGUG